rnacentral:tRNA from 8 species
UGCCGGAUGGACGAUUGGCAAGUCGCCGUGACUCUGAAUCACGGAGAAGUUGGUUCGAGUCCAACUCCGGCAU